CUACGGUAGGUCUGUAUGCUCCGAAUGCUCUAGGCUACACGCGCGCAACAAUGGUAGUGACAAUGGGAUGCCACCCUGAAAAGGGGAGCUAAACCUCUAAACCCUAUCUUAGUCCAGAUCGAGGCUUGAAACCCAGCCUCGUGACGCUGGAAUCCCUAGUAAUCGGAUAUCAUCAUUGUCCGGUGAAUAUGUCCCUGCUCCUUGCACACACCGCCCGUCAAACCAACCGAGCAGGGUUUAGGUGAACCUCAACUUUUUUGGUUGUGCUGAACCUGAGCUCAGUGAGGUGGGUUAAGUCGUCACAAGGUCACCGUAGGGGAACCUGCGGUGGGAUCACCUCCU
rnacentral:rRNA from 1 species